rnacentral:lncRNA from 1 species
GCAAGUUGAAUUUAAAAGCAUCCAUUUUAGUCAUUUGAUGGUUCUCAAUUACUGCAACCAAAGAGAUUCAAAAUCAAAGCAAUGCUUCCCUCUUUUCUAUUACACUUAGACAUGAAAGAGAAGGAAGAAAAGAGAUAAAGAGGAAGGAGCAAAGUCACCUGGAGGAAAGAAAUGAGGAGGAGCUUGAUGGGGAAAGAAACGGAGAGGGACUACUUGUCGGCGAAGAGGAAAAGAUAACUAGGGUAGCUUAUUAAGAAGAGGAUUCUAAGGUGUUAAGACUUUUUUCCUUGAAAACCCAAAAAUUACCUGUUGUUAUAAGAUAGGAAUGUGUUUAAAAGGAUAGCAAAAGGGAAAAUGGGUACAAUGCUAACCUACUACAUGAACAUAGUAGGUUAGAAAGACCCAUAUAUAUGUGUGUGUGUGUGUGUGUGUGUGUGUGUGUAGGGAGAGAGAGAACCAUGGUAGAUAUAAGAGUUAUGAGAAGGACGGGUGCUGGGUGGGAUUUGACUGUUAUGAGGAUUCAACUCUAGAGGCAUUCUUCCUUGUGAUAAAAGCAAAAAUAUAUUUUAAACACAGAAAAGGAUAGGUAUGCUGCUUAUAUAUCCUUAACCUGCAAACAUGAAAGUAUCUUUGAUUCCCUCCUGAUGAAGAUGUGAAAGUCCUGUUUGCUUAUGCUCUUCAAUGAAACCAAAAGAAAAGAGAAAUAACAGAUGAUUUUCCAGUGAGGAAUUGCUAAUAGGAGAUUGGAGAAUUGCAGGGACUAAAAACUUUCUGAAAGAAAAAAAAGGGGAAAAGUGAUUUUCUGGGUUUGCUAAGAAGACGAUAACCCCGGGUCCCAAAAGAAGGUAUGGAAAGAUAGCUGGAGAUUGGGGAAAUAUUUUUGUUGAAAGGCAACACUCUGCCUCCUGUUAAAGAGAAUGUGGGGACAUUAUGGAGAACUAAAAAGUGGGUGAACUGCUAUAACCUACUAAUAAAUUUAUGUAGCAGGACAGCAAGACCAGACAACUUUCACCUGAAUAAUUGCUGGUUAAAUGCUCUAAUGUUCGAGUUGCUGAACUGGUGGGCUUUAUACAUUCCCAAUUAAUAGGCAUUUCUAAGAUGCUUCACUGAUAAAUUAUCAAAACAAAGGGCAUGUUUGGUUAUCUCAAAUUAAGCUGCUGUCACAAAAUGCAUUAGGUCUCACAGAGAGACAAUUUAAGGCGCACAUAUAUCUCAAAAUUUUCUAAUCUAGAACAGCAUUGCAAUGGAGGAGGGCAAAGAGACACUACAAUUUACAUGUGCUGGUGUCCAAUUUUGUGCAUUUUUAUACAUUUUUUUUAAUUUUUUUUUUAUAACCGAGAAAUCCGUCUGUGACCCGCCCUUUGGACCAAUCACAGCCUUCUAAACUCGGUGGAUUGUGCAUUUUUUAUACAUUUUUUUUUAAUUUUUUUUUUAUAACCGAGAAAUCCGUCUGUGACCCGCCCUUUGGACCAAUCACAGCCUUCUAAAACUCGGUGGAUUGUGCAUUUUUAUACAUUUUUUUAAUUUUUUUUUAUUAACCGUAGUAAAUCCGUCUGUGACCCGCCCUUUGGACAAAUCACAGCCUUCUAAAACUCGGUGGAUUGUGCAUUUUUUAUACAUUUUUUUAAUUUUUUUUUUAUAACCGAGAAAUCCGUCUGUGACCCGCCCUUUGGACCAAUCACAGCCUUCUAAACUCGGUGGAUUGUGCAUUUUUAUACAUUUAUGAUGGCUUAUGUUGAAAGAUUUACAUAUUAAACCAUUUUUCUCCACAAUUCAAGUGUCAAAUGCGUCAAAUAAGACUUUAUAUGUGACAGAUCAUCACUGAAAGAAACAAGGGACUACCAAUGAAAGAAAACAAACAAAGUCGGGAAGAUUGAAAACUAAA